rnacentral:rRNA from 1 species
CCUACGGGAGGCAGCAGUGGGGAAUAUUGGACAAUGGGCGAAAGCCUGAUCCAGCAAUGCCGCGUGAGUGAUGAAGGCCUUCGGGUCGUAAAGCUCUUUUACCAGGGAUGAUAAUGACAGUACCUGGAGAAUAAGCUCCGGCUAACUCCGUGCCAGCAGCCGCGGUAAUACGGAGGGAGCUAGCGUUGUUCGGAAUUACUGGGCGUAAAGAGUACGUAGGCGGUUAUUCAAGUCAGAGGUGAAAGCCCGGGGCUCAACCCCGGAACUGCCUUUGAAACUAGACUAACUAGAGUCUUGGAGAGGUUAGUGGAAUUCCGAGUGUAGAGGUGAAAUUCGUAGAUAUUCAGAAGAACACCAGUGGCGAAGGCGACUAACUGGACAAGUACUGACGCUGAGGUACGAAAGCGUGGGGAGCAAACAGGAUUAGAUACCCUGGUAGUCCACGCCGUAAACGAUGAUAACUAGUUGUUCGGUCACUUGGUGACUGAGUGACGCAGCUAACGCAUUAAGUUAUCGCCUGGGGAGGUACGUCGCGAGAUAAAUAAAUAGAGUAGAGNGUGNGAGUUGCGAGAGACACGAGGAGAG